rnacentral:snRNA from 1 species
GUGCUCUCUUCAGCAGCACAAGUAACUAAACUGGAACGGUAUAGAGAAGAUUAGCAUGACCCGUGUGUGAGGAUGACACCCCAAUUGGUGAAGGAUGCCACAUUUCA